GAAAGAUGGUUUCGGCUAUCGCUUACAGAUGGGCCCGCGGUGCAUUAGCUAGUUGGUAGGGUAAUGGCCUACCAAGGCAACGAUGCAUAGCCGACCUGAGAGGGUGAUCGGCCACACUGGGACUGAGACACGGCCCAGACUCCUACGGGAGGCAGCAGUAGGGAAUCUUCCGCAAUGGACGAAAGUCUGACGGAGCAACGCCGCGUGUAUGAAGAAGGUUUUCGGAUCGUAAAGUACUGUUGUUAGAGAAGAACAAGGAUAAGAGUAACUGCUUGUCCCUUGACGGUAUCUAACCAGAAAGCCACGGCUAACUACGUGCCAGCAGCCGCGGUAAUACGUAGGUGGCAAGCGUUGUCCGGAUUUAUUGGGCGUAAAGCGCGCGCAGGCGGUCUUUUAAGUCUGAUGUGAAAGCCCCCGGCUUAACCGGGGAGGGUCAUUGGAAACUGGAAGACUGGAGUGCAGAAGAGGAGAGUGGAAUUCCACGUGUAGCGGUGAAAUGCGUAGAUAUGUGGAGGAACACCAGUGGCGAAGGCGACUCUC
rnacentral:rRNA from 1 species